rnacentral:tRNA from 1 species
AAAAUCCGUGGACUUUAAAAAUCGUGAGGGUUCAAGUCCCUCUAUCCCCA